GACGAACGCUGGCGGCGUGCUUAACACAUGCAAGUCGAACGGAAAGGCCCUGCUUUUGUGGGGUGCUCGAGUGGCGAACGGGUGAGUAACACGUGAGUAACCUGCCCUUGACUUUGGGAUAACUUCAGGAAACUGGGGCUAAUACCGGAUAGGAGCUCCUGCUGCAUGGUGGGGGUUGGAAAGUUUCGGCGGUUGGGGAUGGACUCGCGGCUUAUCAGCUUGUUGGUGGGGUAGUGGCUUACCAAGGCUUUGACGGGUAGCCGGCCUGAGAGGGUGACCGGCCACAUUGGGACUGAGAUACGGCCCAGACUCCUACGGGAGGCAGCAGUGGGGAAUAUUGCACAAUGGGCGGUAGCCUGAUGCAGCAACGCCGCGUGCGGGAUGACGGCCUUCGGGUUGUAAACCGCUUCCGCCUGUGACGAAGCGUGAGUGACGGUAAUGGGUAAAGAAGCACCGGCUAACUACGUGCCAGCAGCCGCGGUGAUACGUAGGGUGCGAGCGUUGUCCGGAUUUAUUGGGCGUAAAGGGCUCGUAGGUGGUUGAUCGCGUCGGAAGUGUAAUCUUGGGGCUUAACCCUGAGCGUGCUUUCGAUACGGGUUGACUUGAGGAAGGUAGGGGAGAAUGGAAUUCCUGGUGGAGCGGUGGAAUGCGCAGAUAUCAGGAGGAACACCAGUGGCGAAGGCGGUUCUCUGGGCCUUUCCUGACGCUGAGGAGCGAAAGCGUGGGGAGCGAACAGGCUUAGAUACCCUGGUAGUCCACGCUGUAAACGGUGGGUACUAGGUGUGGGGUCCAUUCCACGGGUUCCGUGCCGUAGCUAACGCUUUAAGUACCCCGCCUGGGGAGUACGGCCGCAAGGCUAAAACUCAAAGGAAUUGACGGGGCCCCGCACAAGCGGCGGAGCAUGCGGAUUAAUUCGAUGCAACGCGUAGAACCUUACCUGGGUUUGACAUGGAUCGGGAGUGCUCAGAGAUGGGUGUGCCUCUUUUGGGGUCGGUUCACAGGUGGUGCAUGGCUGUCGUCAGCUCGUGUCGUGAGAUGUUGGGUUAAGUCCCGCAACGAGCGCAACCCUUGUUCACUGUUGCCAGCACGUUAUGGUGGGGACUCAGUGGAGACCGCCGGGGUCAACUCGGAGGAAGGUGGGGAUGACGUCAAGUCAUCAUGCCCCUUAUGUCCAGGGCUUCACGCAUGCUACAAUGGCUGGUACAGAGAGUGGCGAGCCUGUGAGGGUGAGCGAAUCUCGGAAAGCCGGUCUCAGUUCGGAUUGGGGUCUGCAACUCGACCUCAUGAAGUCGGAGUCGCUAGUAAUCGCAGAUCAGCAACGCUGCGGUGAAUACGUUCCCGGG
rnacentral:rRNA from 1 species